UACAGAGGGGGCAAGCGUUGUUCGGAAUUACUGGGCGUAAAGGGCGCGUAGGCGGCCUGUUAAGUCGAACGUGAAAUCCCCGGGCUCAACCCGGGAACUGCGUCCGAUACUGGCAGGCUUGAAUCCGGGAGAGGGAUGCGGAAUUCCGGGUGUAGCGGUGGAAUGCGUAGAGAUCCGGAAGAACACCGGUGGCGAAGGCGGUCUGCUGGGCAGUUGCUGACGCUGAUGCGCGACAGCGUGGGGAGCAAACAGG
rnacentral:rRNA from 1 species